rnacentral:piRNA from 2 species
UGAUUGGAUCUGGAAGCUUUUUGUGAGGU